CAAUAGCGUAUAUUUAAGUUGCUGCAGUUAAAAAGCUCGUAGUUGGAUUUCGGGUGGGAAUGGCCGGUCCGCCGUUUCGGUGUGCACUUGCUACGCCCACCUUGCUGCCGGGGACGUGCUCUUGAGUUCACGCUCGGGACACGGAGUCGGCGAGGUUACUUUGAGUAAAUUAGAGUGUUCAAAGCAGGCCUACGCUCUGAAUACAUUAGCAUGGAAUAACACGAUAGGACUCUGGCCUAUCUUGUUGGUCUGUAGGACCGGAGUAAUGAUCAAGAGGGACAGUCGGGGGCAUUCGUAUUUCAUUGUCAGAGGUGAAAUUCUUGGAUUUAUGAAAGACGAACUACUGCGAAAGCAUUUGCCAAGGAUGUUUUCAUUAA
rnacentral:rRNA from 1 species